rnacentral:rRNA from 1 species
AUACGUAGGGAGCGAGCGUUGUCCGGAAUUACUGGGCGUAAAGGGAGCGUAGGCGGGAGGGUAAGUCAGAUGUGAAAUACCUGGGCUCAACCCAUGGGCAGCAUUUGAAACUGACUUUCUUGAGUGAAGUAGAGGAGAGUGGAAUUCCUGGGGUAGCGUUGGAAUGCGUAGAUAUCAGGAGGAACACCGGUGGCGAAGGCGGCUUACUGGGCUUUUACUGACGCUGAGGCUCGAAAGCGUGGGGAGCAAACAGGAUUAGAUACCCUGGUAGUCCACGCUGUAAACGAUGAUUACUAGGUGUGGGGGGACUGACCCCUUCCGUGCCGCAGUUAACACAAUAAGUAAUCCACCUGGGGAGUACGGCCGCAAGGUUGAAACUCAAAUGAAUUGACGGGG